GAUCUAGCUUGCUAGAUGCUCACGAGCGGUAGACGGGUGAGUAAUGCAUAGGAAUCUGCCCGAUAGUGGGGGAUAACCUGGGGAAACCCAGGCUAAUAGCGCAUACGUCCUACGGGAGAAAGGGGGCUUCGGCUCCCGCUAUUGGAUGAGCCUAUGUCGGAUUAGCUAGUUGGUGAGGUAAAGGCUCACCAAGGCUGCGAUCCGUAGCUGGUCUGAGAGGAUGAUCAGCCACAUCGGGACUGAGACACGGCCCGAACUCCUACGGGAGGCAGCAGUGGGGAAUAUUGGACAAUGGGGGCAACCCUGAUCCAGCCAUGCCGCGUGUGUGAAGAAGGCCCUCGGGUUGUAAAGCACUUUCAGCGAGGAAGAACGCCUGGUGGUUAAUACCCACCAGGAAAGACAUCACUCGCAGAAGAAGCACCGGCUAACUCCGUGCCAGCAGCCGCGGUAAUACGGAGGGUGCAAGCGUUAAUCGGAAUUACUGGGCGUAAAGCGCGCGUAGGUGGCUUGAUAAGCCGGUUGUGAAAGCCCCGGGCUCAACCUGGGAACGGCAUCCGGAACUGUCAGGCUAGAGUGCAGGAGAGGAAGGUAGAAUUCCCGGUGUAUCUGGUGAUAUGCGUAGAGAUCGGGAGGAAUACCAGUGGCGAAGUCGGCCUUCUGGACUGACACUGACUCUGAGGUUCGAAAGCGUGGGUAGCAAACAGGAUUAG
rnacentral:rRNA from 1 species